UACGUAGGGUGCGAGCGUUAAUCGGAAUUACUGGGCGUAAAGCGUGCGCAGGCGGCGCGUUAAGACAGGUGUGAAAGCCCCGAGCUUAACUUGGGAAUUGCGCUUGUGACUGGCGUGCUGGAGUGUGGCAGAGGGAGGUGGAAUUCCACGUGUAGCAGUGAAAUGCGUAGAGAUGUGGAGGAACACCGAUGGUGAAGGCGGCUUCCUGGCCUGUAACUGACGCUGAGACGCGAAAGCGUGGGGAGCGAGCCGG
rnacentral:rRNA from 1 species